UGACAGUGAUGAUCUUUUUAUCCCGAGACUGAUCAUUUCUUGAUGAGACAAGUUUAACGGAUCUGAUUGCUGAGUU